GGUUAAGCGACUAAGCGUACACGGUGGAUGCCCGGCAGUCAGAGGCGAUGAAGGACGUGCUAAUCUGCGAUAAGCGUCGGUAAGGUGAUAUGAACCGUUAUAACCGGCGAUUUCCGAAUGGGGAAACCCAGUGUGUUUCGACACACUAUCAUUAACUGAAUCCAUAGGUUAAUGAGGCGAACCGGGGGAACUGAAACAUCUAAGUACCCCGAGGAAAAGAAAUCAACCGAGAUUCCCCCAGUAGCGGCGAGCGAACGGGGAGCAGCCCAGAGCCUGAAUCAGUGUGUGUGUUAGUGGAAGCGUCUGGAAAGGCGCGCGAUACAGGGUGACAGCCCCGUACACAAAAAUGCACAUGCUGUGAGCUCGAUGAGUAGGGCGGGACACGUGGUAUCCUGUCUGAAUAUGGGGGGACCAUCCUCCAAGGCUAAAUACUCCUGACUGACCGAUAGUGAACCAGUACCGUGAGGGAAAGGCGAAAAGAACCCCGGCGAGGGGAGUGAAAAAGAACCUGAAACCGUGUACGUACAAGCAGUGGGAGCACGCUUAGGCGUGUGACUGCGUACCUUUUGUAUAAUGGGUCAGCGACUUAUAUUCUGUAGCAAGGUUAACCGAAUAGGGGAGCCGAAGGGAAACCGAGUCUUAACUGGGCGUUAAGUUGCAGGGUAUAGACCCGAAACCCGGUGAUCUAGCCAUGGGCAGGUUGAAGGUUGGGUAACACUAACUGGAGGACCGAACCGACUAAUGUUGAAAAAUUAGCGGAUGACUUGUGGCUGGGGGUGAAAGGCCAAUCAAACCGGGAGAUAGCUGGUUCUCCCCGAAAGCUAUUUAGGUAGCGCCUCGUGAAUUCAUCUCCGGGGUAGAGCACUGUUUCGGCAAGGGGGUCAUCCCGACUUACCAACCCGAUGCAAACUGCGAAUACCGGAGAAUGUUAUCACGGGAGACACACGGCGGGUGCUAACGUCCGUCGUGAAGAGGGAAACAACCCAGACCGCCAGCUAAGGUCCCAAAGUCAUGGUUAAGUGGGAAACGAUGUGGGAAGGCCCAGACAGCCAGGAUGUUGGCUUAGAAGCAGCCAUCAUUUAAAGAAAGCGUAAUAGCUCACUGGUCGAGUCGGCCUGCGCGGAAGAUGUAACGGGGCUAAACCAUGCACCGAAGCUGCGGCAGCGACGCUUAUGCGUUGUUGGGUAGGGGAGCGUUCUGUAAGCCUGCGAAGGUGUGCUGUGAGGCAUGCUGGAGGUAUCAGAAGUGCGAAUGCUGACAUAAGUAACGAUAAAGCGGGUGAAAAGCCCGCUCGCCGGAAGACCAAGGGUUCCUGUCCAACGUUAAUCGGGGCAGGGUGAGUCGACCCCUAAGGCGAGGCCGAAAGGCGUAGUCGAUGGGAAACAGGUUAAUAUUCCUGUACUUGGUGUUACUGCGAAGGGGGGGACGGAGAAGGCUAUGUUGGCCGGGCGACGGUUGUCCCGGUUUAAGCGUGUAGGCUGGUUUUCCAGGCAAAUCCGGAAAAUCAAGGCUGAGGCGUGAUGACGAGGCACUACGGUGCUGAAGCAACAAAUGCCCUGCUUCCAGGAAAAGCCUCUAAGCAUCAGGUAACAUCAAAUCGUACCCCAAACCGACACAGGUGGUCAGGUAGAGAAUACCAAGGCGCUUGAGAGAACUCGGGUGAAGGAACUAGGCAAAAUGGUGCCGUAACUUCGGGAGAAGGCACGCUGAUAUGUAGGUGAGGUCCCUCGCGGAUGGAGCUGAAAUCAGUCGAAGAUACCAGCUGGCUGCAACUGUUUAUUAAAAACACAGCACUGUGCAAACACGAAAGUGGACGUAUACGGUGUGACGCCUGCCCGGUGCCGGAAGGUUAAUUGAUGGGGUUAGCGCAAGCGAAGCUCUUGAUCGAAGCCCGGUAAACGGCGGCCGUAACUAUAACGGUCCUAAGGUAGCGAAAUUCCUUGUCGGGUAAGUUCCGACCUGCACGAAUGGCGUAAUGAUGGCCAGGCUGUCUCCACCCGAGACUCAGUGAAAUUGAACUCGCUGUGAAGAUGCAGUGUACCCGCGGCAAGACGGAAAGACCCCGUGAACCUUUACUAUAGCUUGACACUGAACAUUGAGCCUUGAUGUGUAGGAUAGGUGGGAGGCUUUGAAGUGUGGACGCCAGUCUGCAUGGAGCCGACCUUGAAAUACCACCCUUUAAUGUUUGAUGUUCUAACGUUGACCCGUAAUCCGGGUUGCGGACAGUGUCUGGUGGGUAGUUUGACUGGGGCGGUCUCCUCCUAAAGAGUAACGGAGGAGCACGAAGGUUGGCUAAUCUGGUCGGACAUCAGGAGGUUAGUGCAAUGGCAUAAGCCAGCUUGACUGCGAGCGUGACGGCGCGAGCAGGUGCGAAAGCAGGUCAUAGUGAUCCGGUGGUUCUGAAUGGAAGGGCCAUCGCUCAACGGAUAAAAGGUACUCCGGGGAUAACAGGCUGAUACCGCCCAAGAGUUCAUAUCGACGGCGGUGUUUGGCACCUCGAUGUCGGCUCAUCACAUCCUGGGGCUGAAGUAGGUCCCAAGGGUAUGGCUGUUCGCCAUUUAAAGUGGUACGCGAGCUGGGUUUAGAACGUCGUGAGACAGUUCGGUCCCUAUCUGCCGUGGGCGCUGGAGAACUGAGGGGGGCUGCUCCUAGUACGAGAGGACCGGAGUGGACGCAUCACUGGUGUUCGGGUUGUCAUGCCAAUGGCACUGCCCGGUAGCUAAAUGCGGAAGAGAUAAGUGCUGAAAGCAUCUAAGCACGAAACUUGCCCCGAGAUGAGUUCUCCCUGACCCUUUAAGGGUCCUGAAGGAACGUUGAAGACGACGACGUUGAUAGGCCGGGUGUGUAAGCGCAGCGAUGCGUUGAGCUAACCGGUACUAAUGAACCGUGAGGCUUAACCUU
rnacentral:rRNA from 1 species